AUUCUACGGAAGGAUUACGGUGAACCCUGACAUUCGUAACCAUAGAAUUUUGGGAUUUUCACUCUUUUGUCAGUGUCAAUAGUUGUUGAUUAGUUUCAGCAUCGACAAUAAGCCCUAAAGGGAAUCGCAAUUUUUUAACAGGACUUGUAUGCGGCACCACCAUUGAUGUUGGCUGGUCUGGUCUACUACUCAUGUGAAAGAAAGCAUGAUCAAUUAAGCCGCAAGAAUCCAGCAGACUACAUUAAUGAUGUUUGAAUGAAUACGAGAAUAUGUUGUAAUAAAUAGAUUAUUCGACAACAUG